GAUGAACGCUGGCGGCGUGCCUAACACAUGCAAGUCGAGCGAUGAAAUUUUCUUCGGGAAAUGGAUUAGCGGCGGACGGGUGAGUAACACGUGGGUAACCUGCCUCAUAGUGGGGGAUAGCCUUCCGAAAGGGAGAUUAAUACCGCAUAACAUCAUUAGAUGGCAUCAUUUAGUGAUCAAAGGAUUUAUUCGCUAUGAGAUGGACCCGCGUCGCAUUAGCUAGUUGGUAGGGUAAUGGCUUACCAAGGCGACGAUGCGUAGCCGACCUGAGAGGGUGAUCGGCCACAUUGGGACUGAGACACGGCCCAGACUCCUACGGGAGGCAGCAGUGGGGAAUAUUGCACAAUGGGGGAAACCCUGAUGCAGCAACGCCGCGUGAGUGAUGACGGUCUUCGGAUUGUAAAGCUCUGUCUUUGGGGACGAUAAUGACGGUACCCAAGGAGGAAGCCACGGCUAACUAC
rnacentral:rRNA from 1 species